GGUGAGUAACGCGUGAGCAAUCUACCUUAGUUACAGGGAUAGCCCGAGGAAACUCGGAUUAAUACCUGAUAUUCUUUAUAUUUCGCAUGAAAUUAAAAGGAAAGGUCAGCCGAACUAAGAUGAGCUCGCGUUCUAUCAGCUAGUUGGUGAGGUAAAAGCUCACCAAGGCUACGACGGAUAGCUGGUCUGAGAGGACGAUCAGCCACACUGGGACUGAGACACGGCCCAGACUCCUACGGGAGGCUGCAGCAGGGAAUAUUGCGCAAUGAGCGAAAGCUUGACGCAGCGACACCGCGUGUGGGAUGACGGAUCUAGGUUUGUAAACCACUUUCAGGAGGGAAGAAAAUGACGGUACCUCCACAAGAAGCCCCGGCCAACUACGUGCCAGCAGCCGCGGUAAUACGUAGGGGGCGAGCGUUGUCCGGAUUUAUUGGGCGUAAAGAGCUCGUAGGCGGUUCAACAAGUCGGUCGUGAAAGUUCAGGGCUCAACCCUGAAAUGUCGAUCGAUACUGUUGUGACUAGGAUACGGUAGAGGUGAGUGGAAUUCCGAGUGUAGCGGUGAAAUGCGUAGAUAUUCGGAGGAACACCAAUUGCGAAGGCAGCUCACUGGGCCGCUAUCG
rnacentral:rRNA from 1 species